UAGGGAAUCUUCGGCAAUGGGGGGAACCCUGACCGAGCAACGCCGCGCGAGUGAAGAAGGUUUUCGGAUCGUAAAGCUCUGUUGUUAAGGAAGAACGAGUGUGAGAAUGGAAAGUUCAUACUGUGACGGUACUUAACCAGAAAGGGACGGCUAACUACGUGCCAGCAGCCGCGGUAAUACGUAGGUCCCGAGCGUUGUCCGGAUUUAUUGGGCGUAAAGCGAGCGCAGGCGGUUAGAUAAGUCUGAAGUUAAAGGCAGUGGCUCAACCAUUGUAGGCUUUGGAAACUGUUUAACUUGAGUGCAGAAGGGGAGAGUGGAAUUCCAUGUGUAACGGUGAAAUGCGUAGAUAUAUGGAGGAACACCGGUGGCGAAAGCGGCUCUCUGGUCUGUAACUGGCGCUGAGGCUCGAAAGCGUGGGGAGCGAACAGG
rnacentral:rRNA from 1 species